UUUUGGAAUCGCGGCAAUGUUCAGCUUAAUGGCGUCGAUAAAAUUAACAUUAUGUUGACAAUUAGUCCAACUCGGUCCAGCUCGAUUCUUUCCAAUGCAACGAGCGUGAUCGCGACCCCUUGUUGAGCUUAUUACACAUAAGCUCUAUGUCGACGGAACGCUUUUGCGUUACGGAGACAAACUCGGGGGACAGCUUCAAUCAAUUUUCUCAAACGAGAGGAAGGUUGCGGCAAUAACAGGUCUGUGAUGCCCUCAGAUGUCCUGGGCCGCACACGUGCUACAUUGAUCAGCGCAGUGCGUCUUUUUUCCAAUGAAACAUCGGUCUGGCCGUUUUUAACAGUCCUGUACGGUUUUGCAAUGGCUACUGAUAGUGUCUGGUGUUCAACACACUGGGCAAUCUCUUGAAAAUACUGAUAGAAUACCCAACUCGAGCAAAUCUACUACACGCUGGAGGCACAACGGUCCAAGGGCUUAUCCCUUGCGACUGGUGCAGCCAAUGACGUAUGCAACUUGUCAACUCUACGUGGGGAUAGUCGCCUGAAAUUCUUCGACUCGUUCUAACUAGGAAUGCCUCGUACGGG
rnacentral:rRNA from 1 species